rnacentral:misc_RNA from 1 species
UAAUAAAAGUGUUUAUGGCACUUUUAAAACAAUCCAUAUCCACCUUGUGUGCAAUGUUUUCUUAAUCUUAACACUUUAUUUUUAUUUCUUUUGUCUGAAAUAUUUUAUGAAUAUUUUUACUUAAUUCAAAAAAUA